CUAAAACCGUAUAACCGGCGUCGAGCGGCGGACGGGUGAGUAAUGCCUAGGAAAUUGCCCUGAUGUGGGGGAUAACCAUUGGAAACGAUGGCUAAUACCGCAUAAUACCUACGGGUCAAAGAGGGGGACCUUCGGGCCUCUCGCGUCAGGAUAUGCCUAGGUGGGAUUAGCUAGUUGGUGAGGUAAUGGCUCACCAAGGCGACGAUCCCUAGCUGGUCUGAGAGGAUGAUCACCCACACUGGAACUGAGACACGGUCCAGACUCCUACGGGAGGCAGCAGUGGGGAAUAUUGCACAAUGGGCGCAAGCCUGAUGCAGCCAUGCCGCGUGUGUGAAGAAGGCCUUCGGGUUGUAAAGCACUUUCAGUCGUGAGGAAGGUAGUGUAGUUAAUACCUGCAUUAUUUGACGUUAGCGACAGAAGAAGCACCGGCUAACUCCAUGCCAGCAGCCGCGGUAAUGAAAA
rnacentral:rRNA from 1 species